rnacentral:misc_RNA from 1 species
GAUUCUUAACCUCGACAAAUUUUUCGAGUUUUUAAGUAAAUUUUUAUCCAAAUAAUUUUUGUUGUAAAUCUCAUUUCAUUUUUUAUAAACGUUAUCACAUUAAUAGAAAAAUAUAAUGUAAAGUUGAGUACUAAAUGUAGAACCAAAUUCGACUAUUAUAAUAUUGCGUGAUAUUGCUAUUACUGAUUUUAUUAUAACUUACUUAUCAGUGGUACAAUAAGAGGGUUUACACGAUGCCAAAAAAAUUUGCUGGUGAAAACAGUAAAGCGGCUGCAAGUAGAGCUCGUAAAGCCGCAGCUAAAGAGGAGGAAACAAUCAAAAAACAAAAAGCCAUUGAAGAUGAAUAUUGGAAGGAUGACGAUAAGAAUCUUGCCAAGAAACAGCAGAAAAAGGAAGAGCAGGAGAAAAAGAAACAAGAAUUGUUAGCGAAGAAGGCUCUCAACAAACAGCUGGCAGAAGAAGAGUUGAAAAGCAUUCAAGUCGGUGGAAAGCAAUCAGCCUCCAAAGUGACUAGAGCACAAAUUGUUUCGGAAACUGAGAAACGAAACCAGGUAGCUAUGAAAGCCAAGCCUCAAGUGGAAACUCACCUCAGCAAGCCACUUGAGGAGAAUAUCAACAGACUUACUAUUGAAGGUGAAGAGGCGAGGACUGUCACUGAGGCUAUUAGUAUUCUAAGUACAAAAGAUGCAGAGGUUGACUUACAUCCAGAGCGGAGAAUGAAGGCAGCCUACAACGCGUUCCACGACGCCAACAUCAAUAGAAUAAAACUCGAAAAUCCAACAAUGCGCAUGUCUCAAUGGAAACAACUUCUAUGGAAAGAAUGGCUCAAAUCACCCGAGAACCCUACCAAUCAAAGGAAUUAGAAAAUACUUUUUGUAAUAAUUGCACGAAUAUAUUUCAACUUGUGUAAAUUUUUCAGGACUUGAAAGCCAGAAUAUUAGUGUAAAGCACACUUGAAACAGGGGCAUUAUAGUGGACAGCUAGUUGACACUACUAUUGUCCCUGAGUGCAGGCUGCUUUAUGGAGAUAUUUUCGAUGAUAUAGAUUCCAAUGGCCAUUUCUAUAAAAUACUUAAUAACAUUCUUAGCACGUUUGGUUGUCUGCCAAUUAGCUACUAGAUUUCAUAUUAUUAGUAGCUGAGCAACCAAAGUGUGCUUCAUUGAGAACGUAUUGAAGAAUCGUUUAUAAAUAAUAAGGCCUAAAUCCAUCAUCCUUAAGCAAAUAAUGCAUCUUAUACUAUAUAAAAAUCCAUGUAUUUGAUUUUUCAUGGAAAUUAUUUGUUGGAUUCAGAAUACAUUGUACUUACCUUUUGAGUGGAGUCCCAUCUAAAUUUGAAAAUAGAUGCCUAAAGUUAUCUUAUGUCACUUCUAAGGAGGUACCAGGAAGUCGUGGUAUUAAUCGAAAUAUUGAUUUAUAUGAACUAUAACGACACGUUGUGCUCUUAAAAUACUAAUAAAAGGCUACUAUUUCAUCUGCUUAGAAAUAUAACUAAUAUAAUAUAAUCAAAUUUUCUCAAGUUGAACCAAACUUAAAUUAGAGAAAUCAAAUCACAAAAUAGUUUUGGAUUUUGGAUCAAAAACAGUUUUUUUGUUGAGAAUUAUUCAGUCAUCUCCUCUCUUCUUACUGGCUUUCAAAUGCUUGAAAAAAAAAAAUUAAGCUGUCAACUAUUUAUAUGAAGAAGUAAUUGUUUUGUUAAAAUUUAUACUGUAGGGAAUAUAUUGUGAUCAAUAAUAUAGUUUUAAACAAAGUGAUUUCAAUUGAGAAGUAUAGUGAUAUACACUUUGAAGAGUCAGCAUUGCUCGAAUGGAAGGGAUUGAUAUCAUAUAAUGAGGGAACGCUGACUGUAUAAAGUGAUUCUCACUACAGUGAUUCUCCCAAUGUACUGAGGUCAUUGGAACUUUUGAACAAAUCAGAUUGUGUUUUACAAUGUUCAUUUUGUUUGAAUCUUGACUAGAGAUGGUAGUCUAUUGUAUGAAUUCUAUUUAUUUAAUUAUAAUUAAAUUCUAAUUA